UACGAAGGGGGCUAGCGUUGCUCGGAAUCACUGGGCGUAAAGGGCUCGUAGGCGGCCAACUAAGUCAGACGUGAAAUCCCCAGGCUCAACCUGGGAACUGCGUCUGAUACUGGAUGGCUUGAAUUCGGGAGAGGGAUGCAGAAUUCCAGGUGUAGCGGUGAAAUGCGUAGAUAUCGGGAAGAACACCCGUGGCGAAGGCGGUUCUCUGGGACGGUACUGACGCUGAGACGCGAAAGCGUGGGGAGCGAACAGG
rnacentral:rRNA from 1 species